AGGGGGACAACAGUUGGAAACGACUGCUAAUACCGCAUGACGCAUAGGGGUCGCAUGAUCUUUAUGCCAAAGAUUUAUCGCUUCAAGAUGGCCUCGCGUCUGAUUAGCUAGUUGGCGGGGUAACGGCCCACCAAGGCGACGAUCAGUAGCCGGACUGAGAGGUUGAACGGCCACAUUGGGACUGAGAUACGGCCCAGACUCCUACGGGAGGCAGCAGUGGGGAAUAUUGGGCAAUGGGCGCAAGCCUGACCCAGCAACGCCGCGUGAAGGAAGAAGGCUUUCGGGUUGUAAACUUCUUUUAAGAGGGAAGAGCAGAAGACGGUACCUCUAGAAUAAGCCACGGCUAACUACGUGCCAGC
rnacentral:rRNA from 1 species